rnacentral:lncRNA from 1 species
CUGCUAGUAAAUGUGGAAAUAUGUUACAUCUAAUUUUAUUAAAAGGAACCAAAAUUUUCUACCCUAUGAAUACUGCAAAAAAAGGAACUUCUUUGUUAGGAACCAUUUAUUUUGUUAUUUAUUUUUAUGUGGUGCUGAGGAUCAAACCCAGUGCCUUACAGGUAUGAGGCAAGUGCUCUACCACUGAGCCAGAACCCCAGUCAGAGGAACCAUUUAUAUGUGGCCCACCUAGAUGAUUUUCAAGCUCAUCUUCCAAACCAGAAUUUCACUGCCAGUUCUGUAUUUGUGGAAUUGGGGUAAUGAAUAUACGUAUUGAAUAAGUUUCCUUGAAACCAUGCAUUUCCUCUUAAUAAUAGGAUUAGUGAUUGGGUUGAAAAGGCAGAGUCAAAAUGACUUCUUCCACUUACAGUGUGAUCCACACACCCACAGCAUCAGUAUUAUCUGGGUGUUUGUCAGAAAUGCAAAACCCUGGGCCUACCUCAGGCCUACUGAACCAGCCUGUUAACAAGUUGAUAACAAGUACCCCAGGUGAUUCCUAUGCACAUUAAAAUUUGAGAAACACUGAGUUAAGCAAUUACAUACAUCAAGGAAACUCUGGAAAGAUUCUCCUAUUCUCCAAAUUCUACUCCUCUUAUGUGACACAGUGAUCAAAAUGUAAUCAUUAACUGUCCUUUGGAUUACUCUUACAAUAUCUCUUUAAAGAGUUAUGAGGCUGUCUCUCCCUCUUGAGAUUACCUCCAUUCUCUCUUGAAUACAUAUCUACAUUCCUAUAUAAACUUCUGCCUAUGCCUUUCAAAAACAACAAAAAGGAAUAGCAGUAAUGGAUUGGGAUGUGCCUCAGUGGUAAAGCAAUUGCCUUGCAUACACGAAACCCUGGGUUCUAUCCCCAGUUCCAAUAAAAAAGACAAAGUAACAACAAAGAAUAACAGUAAUUAUAAUAUAAUUUUAAGGAUGUGUAGUCUUUUUUUGCUGUUUUCAAAGCAUUUUUUAAAAUCUUUAUUUUGUUUAUUCAUUUUUAUGUGGUGCUGAGGAUCAAACCCAGUGCCUCACAUGUGCUAGGCAAGCACUCUACCACUGAGCCACAUCCUCAGCCCUCAAAGCAUUUUUAUACCUAUGAUCUCACUUGAUUCCUUUAUCAUGGGUAACCCACUAAUCCAAUGUACUCUAAUCAUCCUACCAAUAAGUAUGAAGUUAGGUCAAUAAUGUAUUGCUUUAUCCCUAAAUGUCAUUUUAAAAGCCAAGAAAUAGGUAGAAAUCUGAAUAAAUUAUGAAUACAAAAUAGACAUAAGAUGUAAUAGUUACAAUAUAAAAUAUAGUGAGGAUAUAUUUCUAAAACAAUAUACAAUAGCCACAGAAUCUCAG